ACCAGUUAACCCGAAACCUUUCUUGAACAAUCUCACUGGGAAGACCGUAUUCGUGAAGCUUAAAUGGGGAAUGGAAUACAAAGGUUUACGGUGUAGAACCAAAUCCAAUUGAGAGUGCGGUCUAAUACAUAUCUGGAAGACAGUUCUCUACCAGUCUCCCUAAAUACACCUCAUCUAUAGCUCAGAGGAAUCUGAAGAACUU